rnacentral:rRNA from 1 species
GUGCCAGCCGCCGCGGUAAUACGGAAGGUCCGGGCGUUAUCCGGAUUUAUUGGGUUUAAAGGGAGCGCAGGCUGAUUGUUAAGCGUGACGUGAAAUGUAGCCGCUCAACGGCUGCACUGCGUCGCGAACUGGCAGUCUUGAGUGAGUACGACGUCAGCGGAAUUCGUGGUGUAGCGGUGAAAUGCUUAGAUAUCACGAAGAACCCCGAUUGCGAAGGCAGCUGACGAGUCCUUUACUGACGCUAAAGCUCGAAGGUGCGGGUAUCGAACAGGAUUAGAUACCCUGGUAGUCCGCACGGUAAACGAUGGAUGCCCGCUGUUGGCGAUAUAGUGUCAGCGGCCAAGCGAAAGCGUUAAGCAUCCCACCUGGGGCGUACGCCGGCAACGGUGAAACUCAAAGGAAUUGACGGGGGCCCGCACAAGCGGAGGAACAUGUGGUUUAAUUCGAUGAUACGCGAGGAACCUUACCCGGGCUUGAACUGCCAGCGAACGAUACAGAGAUGUUGAGGCCCUUCGGGGCGCUGGUGGAGGUGCUGCAUGGUUGUCGUCAGCUCGUGCCGUGAGGUGUCGGCUUAAGUGCCAUAACGAGCGCAACCCCUGUCCGUAGUUGCCAUCAGGUAGUGCUGGGCACUCUGCGGAUACUGCCACCGUAAGGUGUGAGGAAGGUGGGGAUGACGUCAAAUCAGCACGGCCCUUACGUCCGGGGCUACACACGUGUUACAAUGGGGAGUACAGAGAGUCGGUCGUCAGCAAUUGCGAUCCAAUCCUUAAAGCUCUCCUCAGUUCGGAUUGGGGUCUGCAACCCGACCCCAUGAAGCUGGAUUCGCUAGUAAUCGCGCAUCAGCCAUGGCGCGGUGAAUACGUUCCCGGGCCUUGUACACACCGCCCGU